CACCUGUAAUCUCACUGCUCAGUCUUGUGGGAGUUUGUCAUCAGCUCUACAAACCUCACACUCUGUCCUGAGAGAGCUGGACCUGAGUAACAAUGACCUGCAGGAUUCAGGAGUGAAACUUCUUUCUGAUGGACUGAAGACUCCAAACUGUCAGCUGGAGAUACUAAGAUUGUCUGGCUGUAUGGUGACAGGGGAGGGAUGUUGUUAUGUGUCCUCAGCUCUGACUUCAAACCCCAUAUGCUUGAGAGAGCUGGAUCUAAGCUAUAAUCACCUGGGAGAUUCAGGAGUCAAGCUGGAGGAAAAACUGGAGGACCCAAACUGCUCACUUUAUAAAUUCAAUGUGGAUCUUGGAGGAGAAUCCAGGAUUACACCUGGACUACAGAAAUGUAUGUCUAAACACACACACACACACUCACUCUCUCUCUCUCUCUCUCUCUCACUCACACACAAACACACAGACACAUACACAUGCGCACACACACUGCAUCGUGGGGGUCACCUGUCAGAAUAGAUACAUAAUGGGGACCACCCUUUCCUAUGACCUAAAAAAGAAAUUAUGUGGAAAAACUAAAAAGCCUGUUUGCCUCACUUAAGAUUACAAAUAUUUCACUACAAAAGUUAUACACCUGACAUAGUGUUUACCUGUGGGAACCUUUCAGGUAUGGCGUAUAUCUGGGUUCUGCCACAGACAACCAGUUUUUAGUCAUUGUGGGGAUCAAACUCGCGCCCAUUUUAGCAUUUUUAGCACAUUUCAAAGUAUUAAACUAACUUCAACACAUU